GACAGAGGAGCCAAGCGUUGUCCGGACUGACUGGGCGUAAAGCGCCCGCAGGCGGUCGUGCGCGUGGGGUGUGAAAGCGCUCGGCUUAACUGAGCGAGGCCAUCCCAUACGGCGCGACUCGAGCCGUCCAGAGGCCGGUGGAAUUGCCGGUGUAGUGGUGAAAUGCGUAGAGAUCGGCAGGAACACCGGUGGCGAAGGCGGGUCUCUGGGCAUUUCCUGACGCUGAGGCGCGAAAGCGUGGGGAGCAAACGGG
rnacentral:rRNA from 1 species